rnacentral:rRNA from 1 species
UACGGGGGGGGCAAGCGUUGUUCGGAAUUACUGGGCGUAAAGGGCUCGUAGGUUGCCAACUAAGUCAGACGUGAAAUCCCUCGGCUUAACCGGGGAACUGCGUCUGAUACUGGAUGGCUUGAGUUCGGGAGAGGGAUGCGGAAUUCCAGGUGUAGCGGUGAAAUGCGUAGAUAUCUGGAGGAACACCGGUGGCGAAGGCGGCAUCCUGGACCGACACUGACGCUGAGGCGCGAAAGCUAGGGGAGCAAACGGG